ensembl:lncRNA
GCACAACGUGGAGCUGGAGAGACUUGGCAGAAUGUUGGUGUGAUCUGUGCAUCAAGAAAGAACUGGAACAAGGUGAAUAGAACUGGAUGACAGUCAAAGAGAUGAAUGCAGACGUGACAAGCCCAAGUAAAGCAUUAUGUUGAGAAGUUUGAGGAACACCAAAAGCAUUCCAGCAGCACCUCUGUUGCAGUCCCCAGUUGGGUGAGCUCAUCCGCACAACUGAAACUAUGAUCCAGGAUAGAGAGAACCUUAAGUCAACAGCAGUCUGGAGCGGUUUCCAUUUUCCGCAAGAGGUGAUGCAAGCCUGGUCCGGCCAUGAAGGUCGGAUCAAACACGUGGACUUCAAACAAAACCUGUUCGCUGGUUCUUGGCAGGAGAGUGAACUUCUUGACUGGACUCACCUGCGUUGGCCCCUAUUGCUCCUGCAUAAGAAAUAAUAUCCAAAUAUAGCGGGAUGAAAAAGCGACGUCUGGAUGCGGCCCUACACGCACGUUGGAAGUGCAAAUGACAGUGCACAAACACAACGAGAAGACCAAACUCCCUGGAAGACAAGAUGGUUGGGAAAGCAGAAAGGAGAGGAAGAGAAGGUAAGCUAACAGUACAUUGACAGACACA